CUGCUCAGAUUGAACGCUGGCGGCAGGCCUAACACAUGCAAGUCGAGCGGUAGCACAGAGAGCUUGCUCUCGGGUGACGAGCGGCGGACGGGUGAGUAAUGUCUGGGAAACUGCCUGAUGGAGGGGGAUAACUACUGGAAACGGUAGCUAAUACCGCAUAACGUCGCAAGACCAAAGUGGGGGACCUUCGGGCCUCAUGCCAUCAGAUGUGCCCAGAUGGGAUUAGCUAGUAGGUGGGGUAAUGGCUCACCUAGGCGACGAUCCCUAGCUGGUCUGAGAGGAUGACCAGCCACACUGGAACUGAGACACGGUCCAGACUCCUACGGGAGGCAGCAGUGGGGAAUAUUGCACAAUGGGCGCAAGCCUGAUGCAGCCAUGCCGCGUGUAUGAAGAAGGCCUUCGGGUUGUAAAGUACUUUCAGCGAGGAGGAAGGCGUUAAGGUUAAUAACCUUGGGGAUUGACGUUACUCGCAGAAGAAGCACCGGCUAACUCCGUGCCAGCAGCCGCCGGUAAUACGGAGGGUGCAAGCGUUAAUCGGAAUUACUGGGCGUAAAGCGCACGCAGGCGGUUUGUUAAGUCAGAUGUGAAAUCCCCGGGCUCAACCUGGGAACUGCAUUUGAAACUGGCAAGCUUGAGUCUUGUAGAGGGGGGGUAGAAUUCCAGGUGUAGCGGUGAAAUGCGUAGAGAUCUGGAGGAAUACCGGUGGCGAAGGCGGCCCCCUGGACAAAGACUGACGCUCAGGUGCGAAAGCGUGGGGAGCAAACAGGAUUAGAUACCCUGGUAGUCCACGCUGUAAACGAUGUCGACUUGGAGGUUGUUCCCUUGAGGAGUGGCUUCCGGAGCUAACGCGUUAAGUCGACCGCCUGGGGAGUACGGCCGCAAGGUUAAAACUCAAAUGAAUUGACGGGGGCCCGCACAAGCGGUGGAGCAUGUGGUUUAAUUCGAUGCAACGCGAAGAACCUUACCUACUCUUGACAUCCAGAGAACUUAGCAGAGAUGCUUUGGUGCCUUCGGGAACUCUGAGACAGGUGCUGCAUGGCUGUCGUCAGCUCGUGUUGUGAAAUGUUGGGUUAAGUCCCGCAACGAGCGCAACCCUUAUCCUUUGUUGCCAGCGGUUCGGCCGGGAACUCAAAGGAGACUGCCAGUGAUAAACUGGAGGAAGGUGGGGAUGACGUCAAGUCAUCAUGGCCCUUACGAGUAGGGCUACACACGUGCUACAAUGGCAUAUACAAAGAGAAGCGACCUCGCGAGAGCAAGCGGACCUCAUAAAGUAUGUCGUAGUCCGGAUUGGAGUCUGCAACUCGACUCCAUGAAGUCGGAAUCGCUAGUAAUCGUAGAUCAGAAUGCUACGGUGAAUACGUUCCCGGGCCUUGUACACACCGCCCGUCACACCAUGGGAGUGGGUUGCAAAAGAAGUAGGUAGCUUAACCUUCGGGAGGGCG
rnacentral:rRNA from 1 species